CCGAGUUUACAAACUCCCAAACCCAAUGUGAACGUUACCAAACUGUUGCCUCGGCGGGAUCUCUGCCCCGGGUGCGUCGCAGCCCCGGACCAAGGCGGCCCCGCCGGGAGGACCAACCAAAACUCUUAUUGUAUACCCCCUCGCGGGUUUUUUUUAUAAUCUGAGCCUUCUCGGCGCCUUCUCGUAGGCGUUUCGAAAAUAAAUUA
rnacentral:misc_RNA from 1 species